UACGAAGGGGGGCUAGCGUUGUUCGGAAUUACUGGGCGUAAAGCGCGCGCAGGCGGCCAUCCAAGUCAGGGGUGAAAGCCCGGAGCUCAACUCCGGAAAUGCCUUUGAAACUGUUUGGCUUGAGUACGGGAGAGGUGAGUGGAAUUCCCAGUGUAGAGGUGAAAUUCGUAGAUAUUGGGAAGAACACCGGUGGCGAAGGCGGCUCACUGGCCCGUUUCUGACGCUCAGGCGCGACAGCGUGGGGAUCAAACAGG
rnacentral:rRNA from 1 species